rnacentral:tRNA from 1 species
GCCCCAGUAGCUCAGCUGGCAGAGCGACUGUCUCGUAAGCAGUAGGUCGGGGGUUCAAAUCCCUCCUGGGGCU